GCUGCAGUAUGGUGGUGUGUUAAAGGUACUGUUCAAGUUAAUAUUUCACUUGUUUAUAUAGCACACUUUUGAAAACAAAUAUUACAAUAUUUGUAAGAACUAGGGAUUUGUCUUUAAAACAAUUAAAGUGUUUAUUGGGUGUGUACGAUACAUGAUACCGAGACUUGUUAGCUAGUUAGAAAAUCUGUAUUGUUGCUGGAAGCGCUUGAACAGCGUAAUACAUUGUAUAUACAGUAUUUUUGUUGAAAUACAGCUGUAUAGAAAGCAUAUUUGAUAAAUUAUAUUUAUUCUAGUUUGUCAAUUUAAACUGUCUGUGAGCAUUUUCUACGUGUUCGGACAAACUUAAGAGUACUAGCUCACAAAAAGAAGAUAUAAGGGGACUGUACGUGGUAAUUAUGUGUAUGGACGCAAUGGAGGUUGAAAUAGAACCGGAAGUAGUCCAACCCUGCUCUUACCAGAAAAGGAGGUUCACAAAAUGGAAGCCCAGGAAGUGUUUCAGUGGUGGCGGUCAGAAAAGCUUACUAAAAUGGAAGCGUAACUCUAUCCAGGCAUCAAGAAGAUACCGACGACAAGGCCUCUAUCAGACGGGGAAACACAGACAUGGAAACCGAAGGCUUUUUAUCGUGAACCGUGCUGAUUGCAAAAAAUUGCAUCCCAGCAAUGGCCCGACUUUUCCGGGUAUGCAAGCUCCUAGGAACACUACGCAGUAUCUUAUGCACCUUGUUUACCAGGAUCUCGUAAACGAUUCAGUUAAAGGACAGGAUUCUGAAUUUGAAAGCUCUUGUAGUACUGUUGCAAGUGACUUUGACUCUCAAUAUAUGGGACCGGAACUGCUUUACUACGAGGCUGCCUCUUCAAAAAGCACUUGCUGUCAGUCAAACAUUGAUUUGUAAAUGACUCGUGACAUUCUACGGUGCGACUUUGAAAACGUCUUCAAUGUUUCAUGGGUCGAAAACAUUUGAAAAGUUCAAGCUGAACUGACAACCCAGCGAUUGUCUUUUUUUUUUUUAAAGACAGCGGCCAUUGAGAUGUGCAAUAUUACUCGACUUUGUGUAAUUGAAUCUGAAGCAGCCUGUCUGCAGAGCCGUUCUCAUCCUUGCAACCUGCAGACCUCAACCUCCGGAGUCUGAGAAUUCAGAUCUGCAGUUGGCAUCUGGUGUGGUCUCCAGGUAAAUGUGCCAGCUGAGAAUACAGGUACACUGGCAUGUUUUUGCUGUUGAGCAAAUUGUGUAUUAUCUGUACACUUACAGAAGAGAGAAUACAGAUGCUACAAAGGACUGCACAAGUUUAGUUAUCCUUAGCCACUGGGUAGAUGUACAAAGUGUCUAAGGCAGAACUUUACUCAACUCAUCAUAUUAACAGAUUGCAUUUUAUUUAGUUUCUUCUAGGAUCAGCCUUAAGAGUACACAGAACUUGGAAACCAGUUUUGAUUUAAUUGUUUUGUUCAGGUAUCACUCUUCAGGAGGACUGUAGCCUGUUGGGUCCCAUGCUGGUAACUUUUAAUUUUAUCCUUAAAGUAGGUCAUGUUAUGGUGCAGCUGCAGAUCUACAACUUUUAAAAUGGACAACUUUUCCCUGUUGGUAAGGAUGUAAUGUGGAUAACGUGGAUUACUUUUUAUUUUAUACUUGCUGGUCAAGCAUAAACGUAUUGUUCUGAGAUUGGUGACAACAAUUUGUUGGAAUUCAUGUCUUUUUGAAAAGUUUAAAAACAAAAA